AACGAACGCUGGCGGCAUGCUUAACACAUGCAAGUCGAACGAGACAUUCGGGCCUAGUGGCGCACGUGUGCGUGAAGCGGGGGAAACUGCCCUUAGGUUCGGAAUAAAUCCCUGAGAGGGGUGCUAAUAACGGAUAAUGUUUUCGGACCAAAGAUUUAUCGCCUUUGGGUGGGCCCGUGUUGGAUUAGCUAGUUGGUAGGGUAAAAGCCUAACAAGGAGACGAUCCAGGGCUGGGCUGAGAGGAUGCCCAGCCGCGCUGGGACUGAGACACGGCCCCGUCUGGUACGGAAGGGAGCAGUGUAGAAUAUAGUGCGAUGGAGGCAAGCGUGAUCAAGCAACGUCGCGGGAGUGAGGAAGGCCUUUGUAUUGUAAAGCUCUUUGAGCCGAAACGAUAAUGACGGUACCGGGAGAAGAAGCACCGGCUAACUCCGUG
rnacentral:rRNA from 1 species